AGAGCGAACGCUGGCGGCAGGCCUAACACAUGCAAGUCGAGCGCCCCGCAAGGGGAGCGGCAGACGGGAGAGUAACACGUGGGAACGUACCCUUCAGUUCGGAACAACCCAGGGAAACUUGGGCUAAUACCGAAUACGUCCGUAAGGAGAAGAUUAUCGCUGAAGGAUCGGCCCGCGUCUGAUUAGCUUGUUGGUGAGGUAAUGGCUCACCAAGGCUACGAUCAGUAGCUGGUCUGAGAGGAUGAUCAGCCUCACUGGGACUGAGACACGGCCCAGACUCCUACGGGAGGCAGCAGUGGGGAAUAUUGGACAAUGGGCGCAAGCCUGAUCCAGCCAUGCCGCGUGGGUGAUGAAGGCCUUAGGGUUGUAAAGCCCUUUCGGCGGGGAAGAUAAUGACGGUACCCGCAGAAGAAGCCCCGGCUAACUUCGUGCCAGCAGCCGC
rnacentral:rRNA from 1 species